rnacentral:rRNA from 1 species
UACGGAGGAUCCAAGCGUUAUCCGGAUUUAUUGGGUUUAAAGGGUGCGUAGGCGGCUUAUUAAGUCAGGGGUGAAAGACGGUGGCUCAACCAUCGCAGUGCCUUUGAUACUGAUGAGCUUGAAUACACUAGAGGUAGGCGGAAUGUGACAAGUAGCGGUGAAAUGCAUAGAUAUGUCACAGAACACCGAUUGCGAAGGCAGCUUACUAUGGUGUGAUUGACGCUGAGGCACGAAAGCGUGGGGAUCAAACAGG